UACGUACCGUCCAACCGUUAUUCGGAAUUACUGGGCUUAAAGGGUACGUAGGCGGCGCUGUUAGUCGGGUGUGAAAUCCCAGGGCUCAACCCUGGAACUGCGCCCGAUACUGCAGUGCUUGAGGGAGACAGAGGUAAGCGGAACUGAUGGUGGAGCGGUGAAAUGCGUUGAUAUCAUCAGGAACACCGGUGGCGAAAGCGGCUUACUGGGUCUCUUCUGACGCUGAGGUACGAAAGCUAGGGGAGCGAAGGGG
rnacentral:rRNA from 1 species